GUAGGUGGCAAGCGUUGUCCGGAAUUAUUGGGCGUAAAGCGCGCGCAGGUGGUUCUUUAAGUCUGAUGUGAAAGCCCCCGGGCUCAACCGGGGAGGGUCAUUGGAAACUGGGGAACUUGAGUGCAGGAGAGGAAAGUGGAAUUCCACGUGUAGCGGUGAAUGCGUAGAUAUGUGGAGGAACACCAGUGGCGAAGGCGACUUUCUGGCCUGUAACUGACACUGAGGCGCGAAAGCGUGGGGAGCAAACAGGAUUAGAUACCCUGGUAGUCCACGCCGUAAACGAUGAGUGCUAAGUGUUGGGGGGUUUCCGCCCCUCAGUGCUGCAGCUAACGCAUUAAGCACUCCGCCUGGGGAGUACGGUCGCAAAGACUG
rnacentral:rRNA from 1 species